AAAAGAUACAUUGCCAGAAGACCCUACUCUAAAAGAACUGCUAAAUGAAGUUCUUUGAACAGAAGGAGAUGCACAAAGAAAUAAAGAGAUCUGGAAAUGGAAUAAAUGAAGUGCAGCCCCCUCCACUGCUCUGGCUGCAUCUCGGGCCACUCCCCUUGGGCCCCACCACCUCAAGGAGCAAGCCCACCUUUUCCUCCACCGCUGGCACCACAUGACACAGAACCUACAUCCUGUGGGCAUCUGCUCGAUGACCUCGUGCUGAGUUCGCCUCGGUCAUUUCUUACUGCCCCAGUAUGUUUGAUUCCCAGUACUCCUGCCACACUGCCGGAAAAUGGAAUGAACUUUGAGUCAUUUAGAAGAGAACAAGGAGCUAUUUGGAAAAAGCCAAGCCUCUACACAAGCCAACUCAAAGCAUGAACUUUUCUAGGGACCCUUUGGACAGACUGACUCCCAUUACUGAAAUCCCUGUCAUGCCAACAUUUCAGGUAACAGCCUUUUCUGCAACAUUUCAUGAAUAAGCACUCUUUUCCCUUUUGUCUUUUAUAAAAUUUGAUUCUUUCAUCCACUGAUGACUUCUGCUCUCUUUUGAUACCUUUUAAAUUGUUUUAUCUGUUUAACAGGAUAUGGAGGAAAGAUAAACUUGUGUUUAACUGCAAAAGAAAACCUUGAUUUUCCCAAUGAAAAUUUUGAUGCUGACAAGUUACCUUUCAGAAAUACUGUACAAAUUCAUAUACCCUUAUAUCAGUACAUAGAAGUAUCUCCUCUCCUAUGGUUUUGCAAUGCAAAUUUUAUCAAUCUGAUAUUGAAAGAUGGUAGUUCAUUUGUUUAACUUGUGUUCUGAUCCUUGUGAGAUUCAGUACUUACCACUUUCAUCAGUCACCUGUUGCCUCUUUAUACCCUUUUGCCCGUGAGGGGAGGAGGUGUCAUUUUUCUAAAUGACUUGUAGGAGCACUUUUAUGUUAAGGAUACGAACUUCAUAAGUUAAACAUAUUUUAAUGAUUUUUUCCAAUUCUAAUGUUUAAAAACCUUUCGUUUGUACUGUCUUUGACUAUAUAAAAGCUUAUUAAAGUCCUUAUAUAGUCAAACCUAGAAUCAUUGUGUGUGUGGCUUCUGGAUCUCAUGUCGUAUUUAGGAAGACUGUUCCCCAUGAUUAUAAAGUAUGUUAUGGUGUCUUCUAAUGACUCUGUUUUGCAUCUGGAUAAAAGAAUGAGGUGAUUGUUUUGUACAGAAAUAAUUUUUUUGAGCAGAAUCUCAUUUACCAAUACUGUUAAGCCACUGACAUGAAAUAUCACCUUUAUUAUAUAUUUCCUUUAUGUGUGUAUGUUGUGAAUGUGUAUGUGUGUAUGUUGACAAACACAAUGUUUCAAGCCUUAAGAAAGUCUUAUUUUGUCAGGUACAAAGAAUCUGUAGAUUAAUUUGCGGCCUACUAACAAAUCUACAGAUUAAUUUGGGGCCUACUAACAUCUGUAGAAUACUGAGUCUUCCCCUACAGAAGGAUAAAAUGUCUAUUCUUUUAAUCCUCCAUUAAACUUUAGUCAUUUUGUUUGUACUUAUGUUCACAAGAGAACUGGUUACUGCAUUGAUUGCAUGCUCAAAGCCUUCAGGAGUCAGGAAGUAAUAUAAAGUGUAAAACAAGUCAGAUGUAAGGGAACAGGUAGUGGUUUGAACUGUGGAGAACUGGAAAACACAUGCCCAUCUAAAGGUAUUCAUAUUCAUUUGAAACUUGAUGCAUAUCAAAUCAAACAUGUUGAUGAGUUUUGACCUAUA